rnacentral:rRNA from 1 species
AAAUUGAAGAGUUUGAUCAUGGCUCAGAUUGAACGCUGGCGGCAGGCCUAACACAUGCAAGUCGAACGGUAACAGGAAGCGCUUGCUGCUUCGCUGACGAGUGGCGGACGGGUGAGUAAUGUCUGGGAAACUGCCUGAUGGAGGGGGAUAACUACUGGAAACGGUAGCUAAUACCGCAUAACGUCGCAAGACCAAAGAGGGGGACCUUCGGGCCUCUUGCCAUCGGAUGUGCCCAGAUGGGAUUAGCUUGUUGGUGGGGUAACGGCUCACCAAGGCGACGAUCCCUAGCUGGUCUGAGAGGAUGACCAGCCACACUGGAACUGAGACACGGUCCAGACUCCUACGGGAGGCAGCAGUGGGGAAUAUUGCACAAUGGGCGCAAGCCUGAUGCAGCCAUGCCGCGUGUAUGAAGAAGGCCUUCGGGUUGUAAAGUACUUUCAGCGGGGAG